GUUAGUUAAUCAUGCUAUCUUGAAAAGAAAAUAAAAAUGUUAAAAGCAGUAAGCCCCAUGUGAGUAUGCUCGUGGCGUAAAACCCAUUCACUGUGGUGGCGUAAAAAUAAAAUAAAUAUAUUAUUGUCCUGUAAAAAUGAAAAUAUAAAAAAUAAAUUUUUGAUCCUACUAAAGAGAGUAAUAUUUAUUAGAGGAAGCUCAACGUGAUAAAGGCUAAGAGAUUUUAUGCUAACACUUAACUAGCUCCACAAAGCUUUGUUGUAUAUUUGAGCUCCACAGAAUUUAAGGAUCAAGGAAGACUAGCAGACAGAGGAUAUCCUAAUCGCUAUCAAGGUGCGGCCAACAUUCAAAUACACCUACGCCACC
rnacentral:lncRNA from 1 species